UGAGUAACGCGUGAGAAACCUGCCUUCCACAAAGGGAUAGCCUCGGGAAACUGGGAUUAAUACCUUAUGACACUUAAAGGUCGCAUGACCUUUAAGUUAAAGCGUAAAGCGGUGGAAGAUGGUCUCGCGUCCCAUUAGCUAGUUGGUGAGGUAAAGGCUCACCAAGGCGACGAUGGGUAGCCGGCCUGAGAGGGUGAACGGCCACACUGGAACUGAGACACGGUCCAGACUCCUACGGGAGGCAGCAGUGGGGAAUAUUGCACAAUGGAGGGAACUCUGAUGCAGCGACGCCGCGUGAGUGAUGAAGGCCUUCGGGUCGUAAAACUCUGUCCUAAGGGACGAUAAUGACGGUACCUUAGGAGGAAGCCCCGGCUAACUACGUGCCAGCAGCCGCGGUAAUACGUAGGGGGCAAGCGUUGUCCGGAAUUAUUGGGCGUAAAGGGUGCGUAGGCGGCCUUUUAAGUCAGAUGUGAA
rnacentral:rRNA from 1 species